UGGGUCGGCCAGACGGUCGCGUCACCUUCGGGUGCCGAGGAACGUCCGGGCUCCGCAGAGCAGAACGGUGGAUAACGUCCACUCGGGGUAACCCGCGAGAAAGUGCAACAGAAAGUAGACCGCCCCUUUUAGGGGUAAGGGUGAAACGGUGGUGUAAGAGACCACCAGCAGUUCGUGUGAGCGAGCUGGCUAGGUAAACCUCGUUCGGAGCAAGGUCAAACAGAGAACGCUAUGGCUGCUCGUCUAGUUCUCGGGUAGGCCGCUAGAGGAUCGUGGUAACGCGAUUGACGAGAGAGAUGACCGUCUCGGACCUUCGGGUCUAGACAGAACCCGGCGUAUCGGUCGGCCCAUCCA
rfam:Actinobacterium acMicro-1 AMD-COM-C1618, whole genome shotgun sequence.